UACGUAGGGUGCAAGCGUUAUCCGGAAUUAUUGGGCGUAAAGAGCUCGUAGGCGGUUUGUCGCGUCUGCUGUGAAAACUGGAGGCUCAACCUUUGAAAGCCGGUGGAUACUGCAGGGCUAGAGUCCGGAAGAGGCGAGUGGAAUUCCUGGUGUAGCGGUGGAAUGCGCAGAUAUCAGGAGGAACACCAAUAGCGAAGGCAGCUCGCUGGGACGGUACUGACGCUAAGGCGCGAAAGCGUGGGGAGCGAACAGG
rnacentral:rRNA from 1 species